GAAAUGAAUGAGAUAUCCCACACUAAAAUAGAAAGAAAACAGAAAUAUUAACAUGGUCCUUAUGCAAGGAAUAGACACAUAUUCUUGAAACAUUCUAUAUUUUU
rnacentral:snRNA from 1 species